rnacentral:lncRNA from 1 species
CAGCUCGUGCUCCGAGUGCACCGGCCCCUCGGAGUCAGACUGUGGGUCCUGCUCGCACCUGGCGGCUCUGCUCCAACUCGGACGCUGCGUCUCUCAGUGCGGGGACGGCUUCUACAGCCAGGACGGCGUCUGCUACGGCCAAGUUCCUUCACAAGGACCACAACAUUAAUGAAAAAGCAAGAUGACGAAGGCAAAUAAUAUUAUGUUGCCGUUUUGGGGCUUUGUAGGAGACAACGACGAGCUCUCGGGCUUUCAUCCUCACUGACCUAAAAAAUAGAAGGAAUG